rnacentral:rRNA from 1 species
CUGGGAAUCGUACGCAAUGGACGAAAGUCUGACGUCGCGACGCCGCGUGAGGGAUGAAGGCGUAUUCGUUGUAAACCUCUUUUGAUUAGUUAGAGAUAACUAGUAGAAUAAGUACCCGCUAACCACGUGCCAGCAGCUGCGGUAAUACGUGGGGUACAAGCGUUACCCGGAUUUAUUGGGCGUAAAGCGUUUCGUAGGCUGCUUUUUAAGUCACACUUUAAAGACCAGAGCUUAACUUUGGGAAGGGGUGUGAUACUGGAAAGCUGGAAAACUUUAGGGGCUACUGGAACUGUCGGUGUAGGGGUGAAAUCCGUUGAUAUCGACAGGAACUCCAAGGGCGAAGGCAGGUAGCUGGGAAGUUUUUGACGCUGAGGAACGAAAGCUAGGGGAGCGAAAGGGAUUAGAGACCCCUGUAGUCCUAGCUGUAAACUAUGCUCGCUAGGGGGAUGUUUUAUUAUGUCUCCCGUAAGCUAACGCGUGAAGCGAGCCGCCUGGGGAGUACGAACGCAAGUUUAAAACUCAAAGAAAUUGAC